rnacentral:rRNA from 1 species
CAAGUCGUGCGAGAAAGGGCUUCGGCCCCGGUACAGCGGCGCACGGGUGCGUAACGCGUGGGUAAUCUACCUUUGGGUGGGGGAUAACAUCCCGAAAGGGGUGCUAAUACCGCAUGAGACCACGAUCUCCUCGGAGGACGUGGGAAAGGCUGGCCUCUCCAUGGAAGCUAGCGCCUGAAGAUGAGCCCGCGUCUCAUCAGCUUGUUGGUGGGGUAGUGGCCUACCAAGGCGAAGACGGGUAGCUGGUCUGAGAGGAUGAUCAGCCACACUGGCACUGGAACACGGGCCAGACUCCUACGGGAGGCAGCAGUAGGGAAUAUUGGGCAAUGGGCGCAAGCCUGACCCAGCCACGCCGCGUGAGUGAUGAAGGCCUUCGGGUUGUAAAGCUCUGUGGGGAGGGACGAAAAAGGCGAGUCGAAUAGGCUCGCAAAUUGACGGUACCUCCUUAGCAAGCACCGGCUAACUCUGUGCCAGCAGCCGCGGUAAGACAGAGGGUGCAAACGUUGCUCGGAAUUACUGGGCGUAGAGCGCGUGUAGGCGGACCGUUAAGUCGGGUGUGAAAUCCCCGAGCUCAACUCGGGAACUGCAUCCGAAACUGGCGGUCUAGAGUGAUGGAGAGGGAAGCGGAAUUCCCGGUGUAGAGGUGAAAUUCGUAGAUAUCGGGAGGAACACCAGUGGCGAAGGCGGCUUCCUGGACAUUGACUGACGCUGAGACGCGAAAGCGUGGGGAGCAAACCAGGAUUAGAUACCCUGGUAGUCCACGCCGUAAACGAUGAGUGCUAGGUGUCGCGGGUUUUGACCCCUGCGGUGCCGUAGCCAACGCGUUAAGCACUCCGUCUGGGGAGUACGGGCGCAAGGCUAAAUCUCAAAGGAAUUGACGGGUGCCCGCACAAGCGGUGGAGUAUGUGGUUUAAUUCGACGCAACGCGCAGAACCUUACCCGGGCUAGAAAACUGGAGAACUCGGUGGAAACACCUUGGUGCCCGCAAGGGAGCUCCUGUCCAGGUGCUGCAUGGCUGUCGUCAGCUCGUGUCGUGAGAUGUUGGGUUAAGUCCCGCAACGAGCGCAACCCCUGUUCUUAGUUGCCAUCAGUUCGGCUGGGCACUCUAAGGAGACUGCCGGCGUCAAGCCGGAGGAAGGUGGGGAUGACGUCAAGUCCUCAUGGCCCUUAUGUCCGGGGCUACACACGUACUACAAUGGGCGAUACAGAGCGCAGCGAGCCCGCGAGGGUCAGCAAAUCGCAAAAAGUCGUCCUCAGUACGGAUUGCACUCUGCAACUCGAGUGCAUGAAGUCGGAAUCGCUAGUAAUCGCUGAUCAGCAGGCAGCGGUGAAUACGUUCCCGGGCCUUGUACACACCGCCCGUCACACCAUGGGAGUUGCUGCUCCAGAAGUGGCUGAGCUAACCCGCAAGGGAGGCAG